AGUACGGUCGGAGCUUGAGUGGAGGCACUGAUGUGAUGAAAGUAACUGGCCACGCCCCUUGAAAUGGUUCAUGUGCCCAUCACUUCGAUUCCAACAACGCUUACAGUGGACCUCGAUCAUCGUCUUAUAGCAGACCCACUUCGUAAGCAAGGUGGGAUGUUUGAACGGCUUUGGUCGUUGUGGUGCGUGAGAAGCUAUGGACAUUGAUUGCUCCGGAGGCCCCCCGUUGUUGAGCGGCCGACUCUCGGGACUGUCAUUUCAAUCAAGAAAUACCGGUUUUGUACUUGUUCCCCCUCAGGAAGUGCUUGCGUUCUUCUACCCGUUAUGCGGGAAGUUGAUGCUUGCACAGAUUGCCUUUGUCGCGUACACCCUUGGCGUGUCGUGUCGCCACAUAGCAUGAUAGUGUGCCUGUGUGUCGGCUAAACCGGCAUCACCCAGGACACAUGUCUCUUGCCAUUGGUCUCGGAUGACGCUUGUAUGCGAGCUCGUGGUCCUUUCGACGUGCCUCACAAAAGUUCCGUCGGAAUUAAUUGACGGUUGGCUCGGCUGCCUUGAAUGUUUUAGAGCAUGGCCUCUGAGCUACGAUUGGUAGCCUGCUGCCAACUUGUCAAUGAGGACGUUGCUACCUGGUUGAUCCUGCCAGUAGUCAUAUGCUUGUCUCAAAGAUUAAGCCAUGCAUUGUGCAAGUAUGAACUAAUUGAACUGUGAA
rnacentral:rRNA from 1 species